rnacentral:rRNA from 1 species
GACGAACGCUGGCGGCGUGCUUAACACAUGCAAGUCGAACGAAAAGAGGGAAAGAGCCUGCUCUUUCCGGAAUUGAGUGGCAAACGGGUGAGUAACACGUAAACAACCUGCCUUCAGGAUGGGGACAACAGACGGAAACGACUGCUAAUACCGAAUAAGUUCCAAGAGCCGCAUGGCCGAUGGAAGAAAAGGUGGCCUCUGCCUUCAAGCUAUCGCCGGAAGAGGGUUUUGAGGCUGCUUAGCAGGGUGGAGGGGUAUCGGCGCACCAAGGCGACGAUCAGUAGCCGGUAAGAGAGGAUGAACGGCCACACUGGAACUGAGACACGGUCCAGACUCGUACGGGAGGCAGCAGUGGGGAAUCUUCCGGAAUGGGCGAAAGCCUGACGGAGCAACGCCGCGUGAGUGAUGAAGGCCUUCGGGUUGUAAAACUCUGUGAUCCGGGACGAAAAGGCAGAGUGCGAAGAACAAACUGCAUUGACGGUACCGGAAAAGCAAGCCACGGCUAACUACGUG